UCGGUUAGUGUCACUUGUUUUGGUUUUGUUCGUUUUCUCUCUGAUUUUUGUUGUUGGGUUUUAAGGGCCUCAUCUUAUGAUCUGUUUUAUAGAUUUAAAAGGUUCAUGUGGUCGAUUUAACCAUGGUUUCAGUUGCUGUACAUUUUGUUGCUUUUUGGAGGCUAUGCUCCUUGAUUUGCUUGUUUAUCAUUUAAGGGUUUGCAGUUUUAUGCAGUUUAUUACUCACCCAAUCUUUAGAUAUUUAAGAACUAAACUUUGAUCUGAUAUAGGGAGUGCCCUCUAGACUUGAAAGAAGCAAUAUCCAGUGUGUGUUUUGCUGCACCAAGAUGUGUUGAUCUGCCACAGUUGCUUCAAGUUCAAAUGCUAUUAUUUGUAUCUAAAUGAGGGAAAGAAUUUGUAUCAGCUGCAACAGAACUAAUGCCAGAUUGUGGUGUCAAUUGCCAGUGUACAGGUUUGCUGACUGCGGUGCUUAAGGACUACUCUACUAUAUAUAUGAUAUCAGAAGCAGGUGUCCAAUCCCAGCCUGAAGGAUAUGUCUGCUGGAGCAAAGGACAACUUCCAAAACCAGUUUUGGGCUGGAAACCAAGAUAGUGGCAGCAUCCAUUCCUUUUAUGAUGUCGCUGCUAAUCCAGAUUCGUAUGGCAAAGGCACCAGAUUUUUGAGACAAGUAGAACAAUGUAUAAUGUAGUUUUACUAUAUCUAAUGUAUCUAUAACGUAAUUUCGAUGUAAAUUCAACCAUAUCAAUAGUAUACCCGCAGCACCGCGCGGGCAUUUUGCCUAAUAGGAAUAUAAAUGUGACAUUUGAAAUACCAUGCAACCACUAAAUCAAAGUCAAAAUAUGUUGUUGGAGCUA